AGAACGAACGCUGGCGGCGUGUUUAAGACAUGCAAGUCGCACGGGACAAAUCGAGUAGUAAUACGAGAUUUGUUUAGUGGCGCACGGGUGAGUAACAUGUGAAUUACACGCCCUUCAGUGGGGACUAGCCCAGGGAAACUUGGAUUAAUACCCCAUGGUAUCGCAAGAUUAAAGGUGGCCGCAAGGCUGCCGCUGAAGGAUUGGUUCGCACCCUAUCAGCUUGUUGGUGAGGUAAUGGCUCACAAGGCUACGACGGGUACCUGGUCGUGAGAGGACGAUCAGGCACACUGGAACUGAGACACCGGUCCAGACACCGUACGGGUGGCGAGCAGUCGAGAAAUAAUUCAACAAGUAGGGGGACAACCCGUG
rnacentral:rRNA from 1 species